rnacentral:rRNA from 1 species
ACGGGGCCCGCACAAGCGGUGGAGCAUGUGGUUUAAUCGAAGCAACGCGAAGAACCUUACCAGGUCUUGACAUCCGAUGCUAUUUCUAGAGAUAGAAAGUUACUUCGGUACAUCGGUGACAGGUGGUGCAUGGUUGUCGUCAGCUCGUGUCGUGAGAUGUUGGGUUAAGUCCCGCAACGAGCGCAACCCCUAUUGUUAGUUGCCAUCAUUCAGUUGGGCACUCUAGCGAGACUGCCGGUAAUAAACCGGAGGAAGGUGGGGAUGACGUCAAAUCAUCAUGCCCCUUAUGACCUGGGCUACACACGUGCUACAAUGGUUGGUACAACGAGUUGCGAGUCGGUGACGGCGAGCUAAUCUCUUAAAGCCAAUCUCAGUUCGGAUUGUAGGCUGCAACUCGCCUACAUGAAGUCGGAAUCGCUAGUAAUCGCGGAUCAGCACGCCCGCGGUCGAAUACGUUCCCGGGCCUU